UGGGAGGAAGCUCAACGGCUGAGCAUGAGAUUCACAAUCUCAGGUUGUGGGUUCAAAUCCCACCCUCCCAA
rnacentral:tRNA from 4 species